UACGGAUGGGUCUAGCGUUGUUCAGAUUUACUGGGCGUAAAGGGCGCGUAGGCGGACCAUCAAGUCAGGGGUGAAAGGCCUGGGCUCAACCCGGGAAUUGCCUUUGAAACUGAAGGUCUAGAGUCCGAGAGAGGUUAGCGGAAUUCCCAGUGUAGAGGUGAAAUUCGUAGAUAUUGGGAAGAACACCAGUGGCGAAGGCGGCUAUCUGGCUCGGUACUGACGCUGAGGAGCGAAAGCGUGGGGAGCAAACAGG
rnacentral:rRNA from 1 species